AGUGAACGCUGGCGGCGUGCUUAACACAUGCAAGUCGAACGAGAACGGAAUAUAGCUUGCUAUAUUUGUCAGCUAAGUGGCGCACGGGUGAGUAAUGUAUAGAUAACCUGCCCUUAAGAAAGGAAUAACAGUUGGAAACGACUGCUGAUGCCCUAUAUGCCUUUAAUACAUAAGUAUGCAAGGGAAACGCUUUAGUGCUUGAGGAUGGGUCUGUAUGGUAUCAGCUUGUUGGUGAGGUAAUGGCUCACCAAGGCUAUGACGCCUAACUGGUUUGAGAGGAUGAUCAGUCACACUGGAACUGAGACACGGUCCAGACUCCUACGGGAGGCAGCAGUGGGGAAUAUUGCACAAUGGACGAAAGUCUGAUGCAGCAACGCCGCGUGGAGGAUGACACAUUUCGGUGCGUAAACUCCUUUUAUAUAGGAAGAUAAUGACGGUACUAUAUGAAUAAGCACCGGCUAACUCCGUGCCAGCCGCCGCGGUAA
rnacentral:rRNA from 1 species